rnacentral:tRNA from 1 species
GGGGGUGUAGCUCAGUGGUAGAGCAUCUGCCUUUUAAGCAGGAGGUCGAUGGUUCGAUCCCAUCCACCCUCA